rnacentral:rRNA from 1 species
UACGGAGGGUGCGAGCGUUGUCCGGAAUCACUGGGCGUAAAGGGCGCGUAGGUGGCGCGGGAAGUCAACGGUGAAAGUUCGGGGCUCAACCCUGAAUCGGCCGUCGAUACUCCCGGGCUCGAGCACUGUAGAGGCAGAUGGAAUUCCGGGUGUAGCGUGGAAUGCGUAGAGAUCCGGAAGAACACCGGUGGCGAAGGCGGUCUGCUGGGCAGUUGCUGACACUGAUGCGCGACAGCGUGGGGAGCAAACAGG